AGAGUUUGAUCCUGGCUCAGGAUGAACGCUGGCGGCGUGCCUAAUACAUGCAAGUCGAACGCACAGCGUAAGGUGCUUGCACCUUUCAAGUGAGUGGCGAACGGGUGAGUAACACGUGGACAACCUGCCUCAAGGCUGGGGAUAACAUUUGGAAACAGAUGCUAAUACCGAAUAAAACUCAGUGUCGCAUGACACAAAGUUAAAAGGCGCUUUGGCGUCACCUAGAGAUGGAUCCGCGGUGCAUUAGUUAGUUGGUGGGGUAAAGGCCUACCAAGACAAUGAUGCAUAGCCGAGUUGAGAGACUGAUCGGCCACAUUGGGACUGAGACACGGCCCAAACUCCUACGGGAGGCUGCAGUAGGGAAUCUUCCACAAUGGGCGAAAGCCUGAUGGAGCAACGCCGCGUGUGUGAUGAAGGCUUUCGGGUCGUAAAGCACUGUUGUAUGGGAAGAACAGCUAGAAUAGGGAAUGAUUUUAGUUUGACGGUACCAUACCAGAAAGGGACGGCUAAAUACGUGCCAGCAGCCGCGGUAAUACGUAUGUCCCGAGCGUUAUCCGGAUUUAUUGGGCGUAAAGCGAGCGCAGACGGUUGAUUAAGUCUGAUGUGAAAGCCCGGAG
rnacentral:rRNA from 1 species